UGGGGAAUAUUGCACAAUGGGGGAAACCCUGAUGCAGCGACUCCGCGUGAACGAAGAAGGUAUUCGUAUCGUAAAGUUCUGUCCUAUGGGAAGAUAAUGACAGUACCAUAGAAGAAAGCUCCGGCUAAAUACGUGCCAGCAGCCGCGGUAAUACGUAUGGAGCGAGCGUUGUCCGGAAUUAUUGGGCGUAAAGGGUACGCAGGCGGUUUAAUAAGUCGAAUGUUAAAGAUCGGGGCUCAACCCCGCAAAGCAUUGGAAACUGAUAAACUUGAGUAGUGGAGAGGAAAGUGGAAUUCCUAGUGUAGUGGUGAAAUACGUAGAUAUUAGGAGGAAUACCAGUAGCGAAGGCGACUUUCUGGACACAAACUGACGCUGAGGUACGAAAGCGUGGGGAGCAAACAGG
rnacentral:rRNA from 1 species